rnacentral:lncRNA from 10 species
AAGUAUAGCCAUUUGUGUGCAUGCCUUCUAGGCCACAGGCUUAGUGAAGGUGGGAAUCAUUUGCGUCUAUAUUCUCGACAAUGACCAGCCUAGUUCUUUACGCUUUGGAAAUGUCCAAUGCAUGUUUGCUGAAUGAAUCGAUGAGGCAUGCGGACUUUUGAGGGACACAGAAAUUACAAGAUGGGUAAUAGAAGAAGGAAGUGAAGAAUAAGUGCAGGAGAUGGGGGAGAGUGGCAGAUAUUACCUGCUUGCCUUUUCCUUUCACCCAGAAGAGGUGUUAGAGCAGUCGGAGGAAAUGGACAUACUUUGGAAGACAGAGACCUGGUAAUCCCUUUUCACCCAAGAAGAACCAAGCCCUGGAUGAAUGGAUGAGCAGCUCACGUUUUUCUGCCCCCCACCCCCAGUCUUUCUGAGACUGACUUUGUCCUAGGAAUUGUUCGUCCCUCUGGAAGCUAGUCUGGUGCUUCUAACGCUGCCAGCUCCUGAUGCCAGCACUCCUU